rnacentral:tRNA from 1 species
UGCGCCUUCUUCCAAUGGCAGGAUGCGGGACUCAUAUCCCCUCGAUGCCGGUUCAAGUCCGGCAGGCGCGA